UACGAAGGGGGGCUAGCGUUGCUCGGAAUCACUGGGCGUAAAGCGCACGUAGGCGGAUCUUUAAGUCAGGGGUGAAAUCCCAAGGCUCAACCUUGGAACUGCCUUUGAUACUGGGGAUCUCGAGUCCGGAAGAGGUGAGUGGAACUGCGAGUGUAGAGGUGAAAUUCGUAGAUAUUCGCAAGAACACCAGUGGCGAAGGCGGCUCACUGGUCCGGUACUGACGCUGAGGUGCGAAAAGCGUGGGGAGCAAACAGG
rnacentral:rRNA from 1 species